CUCCAUCGGCAUCGUCGACGUGUCCUCGAUAGGUGGGGAGGCUCCUGGGGGAUGCUAUGAAGAACCUUCUGGAUUAAUACCCGCACCUCAGGAGAAUUUGCUCCACAACUCUGUUCUAAAGGUUCUAUGAAGCCAGAGGAAAUGCACAGGCAAUCGGCCGCAAUUGGGGUGAUACAGGCAGAGUGCGACCGAGGGGGGAGAGAGAGAGAGAGAGAGAAAUCGAGAAAUCGAGAAAAAUAGCGGCUAGGGAAUGGAGUAGAUGACGGAGAGAAAAAGAACGACAGACAACACACGAAAUAUAGGGGUAUAUGACAAAGAGGAAGCCAAAGGCGGGGAGGCGGGCAGAGAAGCAGAAAGAAAGAAAAAGAUGAAAAAUGAAACGGAAAGAGAACAAGCAGUCUAGCCCUGUAUAUGUGGAUGUGUUUGAGAGGGAGAGUCGAAGGGGACGAAGGAGCAUGAGAUGUAGCAGUGAUAGAGUUCCAAAAUCAAAGUUUUCCAAGAGACACAACCUAGAUCAUUGAAAAACUCCAAACUGUAUUAAAUUUUGAGAUCUAGCUACGGGUCAGAAUCAUUUUUUCCAUCAAAAAUUGUUCAGAAAUUCGAUGCAGAGAGAGAAACGAGUGUCCAUCACUAGACUGGAGGUUCAGUUGAAGCAAGAAGAACAAGAAGAACCAGGGAGUGCAUUGAACAAGGACAGGUAGACAAUCAAAAGGAGAGGGGAUCAAGUCGUCGUGGUGAGCAGGGGAAGGGUUUUAGGGGGGAGGGAGUAGAGUGCAGCGGCCUGGUUGCCUAUACUCCGCGUGACUAUAGGCAGUCCGGCUAGGCUAGAGUCCGCGUAUAAUGUAUUCUCGAAUAUCGUGCACUCUCUCGUGAUCAAUAUAAGCUCCGACGCGGGCCGGAGAUGCACGAAGAUCCACCUCCUCCUUCCUCGACCCGCCCGGACGAUGUUUUUUCGUGCGGAGUGCAACGCACGCUGGAUCGCGAGAACUGCACUCGCUCUCCCCCUCUCCACGACUCUUUAUUUCUCUCUC